CUGAAGUCUAGCCAAUGAAAGGUCUCCCAGCACACCCCCCCAUUCCAUUUUCCUUAAUUAAGUCACAAGUAACAUCUUUAUCUCAAAGCCCCAUGCAGAGAGUAUCUUUUUUAGAUAAAGGAGGUAGUGGUUUCCACUGACAGUACUUAUCCGUAGUAGUAAAAGUUUUUUCACGGGUCACUUUGGUUUGCGAGGUAAGGCAGGAUUUACAGAUUUUUUUUUUUUUUUUUUUUUUUUUUUUUGCAUGGAGGGGAAAAAGCAACCACACAUCAUCUUUCUUCUCUUUUAACUUGAGUUUUACACUAAAAAUCUGUUUUGAGAAGGAAAUGGAGCGUGCUAAACUAAUGACAGCUUUCCCUUCUCUUACUUUUUUUUUCUCUUUCAGAGCAAUGCGCUCCUAUCCGCUCCUCGGCGUGGUGGGAUAUGGGCACUGCUGCCUUAAAUGAAGGCUCCAAUUACUUAAAAACAAAAAACAAAUAAACAGCCCCCCCCCCCGUGGGGGGAGGAAACCGAGGAGGGUUUAAGAGGAAACUGUAAACCUGUAGGCAAACAUUUGCAGAAGUAUAGUUUCUUCGACUAGACAACCCCCUUUGCUGGGAAAUUGUUAGGUGCGUCCGUCUGAGAAACGUGCCUGGCUAGUUGGUGACUGCCCUUCAGAUCCACCCAGGGGGACGCGACAGAAGGAGGGGCGGGUGAGGCCCCCAGUUUCCAUUCUUGGGGAGAGGAAGCUGGCGUUCCACAAUGCGCUCUGAAGACAGCUGGUUAUCAGGUCCCAAUACUUGCCAAGCGUCCUCUAAUUUCACAUUCCAAAUUUCUUCUCCUUUGCAACCCCCUGCCCACUCCCCCCACCCCCCUGAGCAGAGGGUGCCAUGGCUUGAGCGGGAGGCCUCGAUCCGGCCAGGGACCCGGGGCCUGAGGAUCGGGCUCCUGGACACCCAGGGCUGCGGAGGCGAGAACUCCGAGCGGCCGAGACCGCUGUGCCGGUUUUUGCCAGAGAUUAGCCGCCGCGUGGGUCCCUCCCUCUUUCUCCGGUGAAUGAACGAUUAGUCAAACCGCACCUCCCCGCCCCAGUCCGCCCCGGGGUUAAGGGAGGAGUCCCGGAGGGACUGUUCUUUUUCUUUUUCUCUUUUAAGGGCGAAAAGCGUUCGCUUCUGUGCGUUUAUUAAUCGGCCUUGCGUGUCCUUUCAGCUUCUGUCGUCCUUAGUGCCACGACGCGCAGACACGUAAGCCCAGAGCACAGAUCUCGAAGGCCCCUGGCUCCUCUGUCCGCUCCGCGCGUGAGUCAGCUGCCGUGCCCCCGCCAGAGGGAAGCAAAGCAGGGAGUGAAAAGUUGCAGCCCAACCCCCCCCCCCGCCCCCGUCGCCCCGUUCGUCGCUCCUUCCCAAAGCUGGGGCACCUGGAAAUGAGCAGUGGUGGUGAGGCCCCCAGAGCCCCGCAUUCUGCUUCCUCCCUGGGUUGGAACCGUUGUGAGCAGGAAUGGGGCGGCAUCCUGGGUUAGUGAAGGGUUCCCCGGGGAAAGGGAGGAGAUGCCGCGCGCUCUGGGCGAUGGAGACGCGCCUGCCACGCUCCGAUCCGCACCCCGGGGCAAGCAGCCUCCCUCCCAGGGCUGGGGAGAGGGCUGGACGCCCGGCGGAUCAUGAGUGCCCCGCUCACGGCUUCUGCAAUCCCACUUGCGCCGGGGCGCCCCCAGCGGGCUCCCGGAGGCGCCCGGUGCGCCCCGGUCUCCCGCGCCUGAGCGAGCGAGCGUGCGCGCUGGCCCGGCGUAGAGCCCGCGGGGCCGGCAGGAGGUAGGAGUGCAGGAGUGGAGGACGCGGCAGCAGCGGCAGCUCCGGGCGCAGUCAUUGCUGCCCGGGCGGCGGCAGCGGCGGAGCAAGCGGUGCGCACCGGGCAGCGCAGCGACUCCUCUGUGCCUAUCUCCCAUCGCUCCGACACCCCCUGCACCCGGCCCUCUCUCUGGCGCGGAGGGAGCGACAACUAAACCGCUGCAAGCAACUCC
rnacentral:lncRNA from 1 species